rnacentral:rRNA from 1 species
GUGAAAUUCCGUCGGAAUCUGGGAGGACCAUCUCCUAAGGCUAAAUACUCUCUAGUGACCGAUAGUGAACCAGUACCGUGAGGGAAAGGUGAAAAGCACCCCGGAAGGGGAGUGAAAUAGAACCUGAAACCGUGUGCUUACAAGUAGUCAGAGCCCGUUAAUGGGUGAUGGCGUGCCUUUUGUAGAAUGAACCGGCGAGUUACGAUUUGAUGCAAGGUUAAGCAGUAAAUGUGGAGCCGUAGCGAAAGCGAGUCUGAAUAGGGCGUUUAGUAUUUGGUCGUAGACCCGAAACCAGGUGAUCUACCCUUGGUCAGGUUGAAGUUCAGGUAACACUGAAUGGAGGACCGAACCGACUUACGUUGAAAAGUGAGCGGAUGAACUGAGGGUAGCGGAGAAAUUCCAAUCGAACCUGGAGAUAGCUGGUUCUCUCCGAAAUAGCUUUAGGGCUAGCCUCAAGUGAUGAUUAUUGGAGGUAGAGCACUGUUUGGACGAGGGGCCCCUCUCGGGUUACCGAAUUCAGACAAACUCCGAAUGCCAAUUAAUUUAACUUGGGAGUCAGAACAUGGGUGAUAAGGUCCGUGUUCGAAAGGGAAACAGCCCAGACCACCAGCUAAGGUCCCAAAAUAUAUGUUAAGUGGAAAAGGAUGUGGCGUUGCCCAGACAACUAGGAUGUUGGCUUAGAAGCAGCCAUCAUUUAAAGAGUGCGUAAUAGCUCACUAGUCGAGUGACACUGCGCCGAAAAUGUACCGGGGCUAAACAU